rnacentral:misc_RNA from 1 species
UCCGAGUUGACCCCGGCAGUCUCCUACGAGUCCCCGGCAUAACCCGCUGGCAACAUAGGACAAGGGUUGCGCUCGUUGCGGGACUUAACCCAACAUCUCACGGCACGAGCUGACGACAGCCAUGCAGCACCUGUGCGGGCCCCCGAAGGGGCACCGUGUUUCCACGGCGUCACCCCGCAUGUCAAGCCCUGGUAAGGUUCUUCGCGUUGCAUCGAAUUAAGCCACAUGCUCCGCCGCUUGUGCGGGCCCCCGUCAAUUCCUUUGAGUUUUAGCCUUGCGGCCGUACUCCCCAGGCGGGGCGCUUAAUGCGUUAGCUGCGGCACGGAAACCGUGGAAGGUCCCCACACCUAGCGCCCAACGUUUACGGCAUGGACUAC